GCCGGUUUGGCUCAGUGGACAGAGCGUCAGCCUGCGGGCUGAAGGGUCCCGGGUUCGAUUCCGGUCAAGGGCA
rfam:Myotis lucifugus cont2.53297, whole genome shotgun sequence.